rnacentral:sRNA from 1 species
UGCUCUAUCCCUGGUCAAAUCCUCUCUCCCUGGAUCUAUACCCAGAGGGCAGUCCCAGACUGUCCCUCUAAAGAAUUUUACUCUGUGCUAUAAACGAUAGCUACGAGAGGCCCAGGGACGGAGAGUCAGGUUGGUGAGGGAGCUCAAGGAAACUUGAUUUUACCAAGGAGAACACAGGCCAGAGAUCUGGAGCUUCUUGCUCAAAGUCACGGCAGUUGUCAUGGAUGAGGAAAGAGAGGGAAAUUGUACUUAAUUUAAUGAUUCUGGUUCCAGAGCUCUUUCCAGGAGAGUGAGCUCCACUGUGAAGUCUUUGUCUCAAGAUGGAGAGGAUUGGAGUCCAUGGAAAUUUCAAAUGGAGGCAAAAGGAAGAGGUCAAGAUACCAACAUCGGUGAAGGAUUUCUUACUAUGGUGGCAAGGCAGAAGGCAUCACACGGAAGAGAGAACAAAUUCUAACACAGUGGUUCUCAACCUCCCUAAUGCUAUGACUCUUAACACAAUUUUUCAUGUUGGGGUGACUUCCAAACAUAAAAAUUAUUUUUGUUGCUACUUCAUAACUGUAAGUUUACUACUGUUACGAAUCAUAAUGUAAAUAUCUCCAUUUUUCUGACUGUCUAAGGCAACCCUGUGAAAGGGUCAUUCAACCCCGAAAAGGGUUGCAAUGCUCAGGUUUAGUGCCAGUGAUCUGGAGGUGUGAGUAGGAACCUGUCCUUUUUAUGAGGAACCCACUCCUGCUAUGAGGAGAAUAGAGUUGAUCUAUUAAACUAUCUCCAGGCCCAGUAAUGUGGAAGCCUCCUCAGAGGUCUUACCUUCUAAAAUGGCUGUCGUGGGAAUCAAAUUCCAACAUAUGGGGUUUAGGGAAGACAUUCAAACCAGAGUAGCAACCUGUCUCACUUCCUGGAUGUCUCCAUCUUUAGCCCUUAUGUACCCUGCACCAAAUUAACUCUCCUGCCCAGUGAACUAUCUACGUAUCUUUCGACGAACACUUUCUCAUCCUACACUUUCUUCCUCUGUAGAAAGCUAGGAUUCAGUCCUCACCUCAACUACCAUCUCCUAAAGAAAUGUGCUUGAACCCCUCCCUAUUUGGCCCCUUCACUUCCUGUCCUUCUUCAGUGGUCCUCGCCUCAACGACUCUGCUCACCUGCAUCCUUGUCUCCUCUCUCAUUGCCCCAAGCAUGUUCACAAUCUCCUUGACAGCCUGCCCAACUCAGUUUCCCCACGAUGCCCAGCAGUCACUUGCACAUAAAUACUUGUUAAUUCGACCGAGCUGCUUCCCCCACCAGUCCUGUUCCCACUCAAUCUCACUUCAUAUGUCAAGGCUGUUGAUUUUAUUACCAGGAAAUCAUCUGCAUAUUCCUACCUGCUUUGCUCCCCAUGCCUGAUAUCUCAGAUUUAAAGGUAAGUUAGACUGUAGACUGCCUUUUAAAUAUCCCCAGCUGAUUCUGUACAACUGCAGCCGAGGCCUGUAACAUUUAUUUAUAACUUUGCGAAAUUGGCCGGUGGUUAAGAUAUAUAAACCCGACGGGGCUCAUGCAUUUCCAAUACAUUAAGGUAUAUUUAAAACAUGCUGUGUCUUAUCAGCGGCUUUAAAAUACACAUUACCGCAGGAAUCAGGUGGACGGGAGCGAGGUAAUUGACUAAUGAGAAUUCUGUACAGUGACUGGAAAUAUGGCAGAACUGCCCUUUGAGAACUGUGCUCGCACCUACUAAUGAACUUUAUCUGCGGCUCUAAAACACAGCCCUGUGUUUCAAACACAAGCCCAGGAGGCUGCGCGGCUCGAAUGCGGUUGUGUUAAUUCACACCUAGUUAUGGUGACUGGCACCAGCCUUCAACACUGGUCAGAAGAAAGCUGCCGAACUGCUCUAGAAUAAUUACUAAGACUGGGUUUAUUUUAUAACAGGUGCCAGGUGUUAAUAUUGAAGGGCAUGUUUUGUUCUAACUCAAAGCAUGUGCAGGGGUUUGGGGAGUCAGGGCUGUGUGCAUCUGUUCGUAUGUCCACAUCAUGUGACUACAUACACAUACACACAUACCAUUUCUGUGAUUUAAGGAUGACUGGCAUGGUAGAAAAAGGUACAAUAGGGGAAUUCAGCAAAAUCCAAGCCAAGGCAGGAGUCUAGAGUUCAGAUAGGAUUUUCCAUGACUCAUGGACCUACGGUAAAUGUUCAGAGCAAGAACAUUCAUGUCUAAGCCAGUGAAGAUAGUGGAGCUGACCUUGUCCCAAAGAAGAGCCAUUCCCUUCGUAAUGGAGGAAAAAGGCUACUUCCCAUGCAUCUUCUAAAUGGUGCUGACCCAAAGCAGUGGGCUCAGUGACCAAGGUCGAAUUGCUUCAUUCUGCUUCUUUAGAUGCCUUCCGCUGUCCCUUUGGGUGCCUUCCUAACAACAACUGUUACAAAUCUUCCCAUAAUUCCAUCACAUAUAACUGGAAUGGGGUAGACACCCACAUGGAUUUGCUCCACUGAUUUCCCUUGUAAUUCCCACCUUUUCGUUAUAACGACCCCCCAAAUCCUAUCCUUUGACUGUCUCCCUGUGGGUUAAGACUGUCUAUCUAGUUGAUCAAUGGGCAGAGUUGCCUGUGUGCCCCACAUGUAGUUCAUACAACAAAUCCAAAGGUAACUUUUUACCUAUUCAAUCUGGACAAGUCGUCCCGAUGGAUUUACCUCCCAAAUGUCAUCUCCUCCUUCCUCAACAAAUGGAGCGGGUUUACCCUCCUGGCUCAGACACCCUCCCAGCCAAUCCCAUGCUCUGUCUUUCAUAUGGAUUUAGCAUCAUCUAAACUAAAAUGUAGGAAGAUAGCUUAGCUGAUAAAGUGCUUGCCAUGUAAGUAUGAGGACAUGGGUUUGCAUUCCUAUCACCUCCCGUAAAAGCCAGCAUAGUGGCACACAUCCGUAACCCCCAUCUUGAGAGGCAGAGACAGGAGGACUCCUGGGGGUUGCUGACCAGGUCAGCCUAAUCCUCAAGCUGUGCAUGCGUGCGCACACACACACACAUUUCAUAUAUGAAAGUGUAAAGGGGCUCUGCCUAAGAUUUCGCAACUUAAAUACUAAACUCUGUUUCUUUCCUAGGAUCCUGUGUACUUACAAGGCCACCUUGGAGGCCUCUGCCAGCUUCUCCUCACUGUCCACUACUCUCCAACUGCACUCUCUACUGCAGUGACACUGGACCACCUGACCUUCUUAGCAGUUGCUGACAGCUCUCUGCUGUCCACUUAUCUCUCCUCCUUUUCUAUUUGACGAGUUUCAAAUCAACCUGCACUCAGUGAGCGCUCGCAGGAGCCUCGUCUGAUUCCUCACGCCUGCUUCCAGAGAUCAGUCUGCUGUGUGCAUUGAAAUGUGUUGAUUUUUUUUAAGGUUGUUUGAACCAACAGAAUGGCAACUUGGGAAUUAGUGACUGUAUGUAUCUCUUCCCUUUUUGCAUUGCAAAUUGUUUAUAAAAGUAUUUUUGGUGGGAGCGUUUGAGUGAACAAAUGGAAUGUUUGCACUCACUUUGGUAAAGACUAGAAAUGAAGAGGAAAUGUUGAGGCCAUUGGGCUCAAUGAAUCUUUAAUUUGUACUCUGAAAGGAAUAGAGAAGGGAUGGUAUUCAUGAAAGAAAAAUGUGGUUAUGCUGAGACUUUUAGCUUCAUAUUACCUGAAAACUCACUGUCAAGGCUGAGAAGAUAGCUCGUAGAUAAAGUCCCUGCUACAUAAACUUGAGGACCUGAAUUCAGACCCCCAGCACCCAUGUAAAAGAGUCAAACAUGAUAGAAGUGACUGAGUAAACUUCUUUGCUGAGAGAGGGGAUAAAUAGAGACAGAGAGAUCCCUAGAGCUCUUUGGCUGGUUAACCUGGCCAAAUCAAAGGACCCCAGUUUCAGUGAGAGCCCUUAUCUCAAAAAAUAAUAUUGGAGGAAUAUUUUGAAGAAAGAUACUUGCUUGAUGCUACCUUUUAGUUCCACAUGCACACAAAAAAAACCCAUGCACAAUGCACAAUUAACCGGUUCCCUGUAAAAUCAGGAAGGGACACUGUUGUGUGCAGUGCAGGUGCUGGCCAAACUUAGCAUUUCCUUGCUGUGUUAGUACGUGCGGUGCCAUGUGUGGAGGUAACACUAGGACACCUGUCACUCAGGGAAAGACAAUAUACAGUCUAUCACUAAUUCUGUCACACACCCUUUGGGAAUUUGGAAGUGAAGUCAUCUGGGAUUGAGGGUCGAGUGGAUGGGAAAGAAACACCUGGAUCGGUGAAAAAUAUUUAACAAACAGCGGGUGUUAGGUCUCCACUUUUGUGUUGAUAUAAUGAAAUGUCAAAGAGAACCAGUUAUGGGAGAAAUUAUUUACUUUAUUGCAGGGAUUCCAAGGUUUCCAUCCAAGCGGACGGGGAAGAAAAACAGCACAGAAAAGGGAGACAAGAAGGAACUAUGGAUAUGGCAAAGUGAGUUGAGUUCUGGGUUAAGGCCACCUUGGAGCCAGUAUUAACAGAAGCUCAGAAAGGUUACCACCAAGGGACUCUUGGGGAGCACCCCUUUUUCUGUGCUUCUGUUACCCAGAAGCAUCUUCCAGAGGACAGAGCAAGCCUACCACACCAACACCUCUUCUGUGAGUGAGGUGUUCCUGCUGUUGAUGAUGGAAAAACAAAGGAAAGAUCCUUUCUCAAGAUGCUACCCAAGAAGCACAUUAGUAUGACCAGUCUGAAGAGCUGUGGUGAUUCCGCUCAGGGCUUCUGCGCACCAAAAAUUAAAAGCAAAGAUCCUUAAAUCAACUGGACUACUUCUGGGCAGAUGGUCCAAAACCGUGUGUCUAAUGAGAAAGAGCUUUGUGGGGGAACAGUCACCAUCCUCCAUGCUGCAACUGCACCAAAGGGCUCAACAGUGCGGCAAAGACCACGUGACAUACGUGACCCUGACCCUUUGCACCUCUCCAAAGUCUGCCAGCCAAUGAGCAUUCAUCUUUUGGAGCUACAAGUGCAUGCUGGUCUGUGUGUGUGUGUGUGUGUGUGUGUGUGUGUGUGUGUGUGUGUGUGUGCAUGUGUGUGCAUGUAUGUGGGGGUGUGUUGCGCAUACAUGAGUGGCUUUUCAUGCUGGGCAUUCAAACUCAAGUAUUUAUACUAUAGAGCAAAACUUUCCCCCCACUGAGCUAUUUCUCCAGUCCCUCUGAUUUUUUUUAAGUCAAAAUGGUAUUAUUAUAAAUAUCAUAAUACUUUAAAAUCAAGAAGUCCCCGUGUUGUGUCUGUGUAGCAAAGGACAAUAAAACAUGGCCCUGUCAAACUGCA